AUGUUCAGGUUUAUAUUAACUUCCUGUUCGCUGUGAUGACGUUUACUCCAGCCAUUCGUAGUUUCCACCAGAGGUCUUCAGACCGAUGAGGGUUCAACCUUCCUUGGAUGUCUGAGCGAACUGUGUCCAUGUCUAACUGUAGGAUUUAAGAAAACUAGUUUCUUACCUUUUAUUUGUCUUUGCAGGGAAAAUGUCUAAAGCUGCAGGACCUUCAGUUCUGGUGAUGAAGACCCAUAAAUCUGGUGAAACGUGUCUGCUCUGAAGCUGCAGGACCUUCAGUUCUGGUGAUGACCCAUAAAUCUGGUGCGUAUGUUCAGGUUUAUAUUAACUUCCUGUUCGCUGUGAUGACGUUUACUCCAGCCAUUCGUAGUUUCCACCAGAGGUCUUCAGACCGAUGAGGGUCCAACCUUCCUUGGAUGUCUGAGCGAACUCAGUU